rnacentral:rRNA from 1 species
UAAGAAGUUGAAUGUACCUUGAGAAUAAGGAUCGGCUAACUCCGUGCCAGCAGCCGCGGUAAUACGGAGGAUCCAAGCGUUAUCCGGAUUUAUUGGGUUUAAAGGGUGCGUAGGCGGCUUUUUAAGUCAGGGGUGAAAGACGGUAGCUCAACUAUCGCAGUGCCCUUGAUACUGAAGAGCUUGAAUGUACUUGAGGUAGGCGGAAUGUGACAAGUAGCGGUGAAAUGCAUAGAUAUGUCACAGAACACCAAUUGCGAAGGCAGCUUACUAAAGUAUGAUUGACGCUGAGGCACGAAAGCGUGGGGAUCAAACAGGAUUAGAUACCCUGGUAGUCCACGCCCUAAACGAUGAACACUCGAUGUUGGCGAUAUACGGUCAGCGUCUAAGCGAAAGCGUUAAGUGUUCCACCUGGGGAGUACGCCCGCAAGGGUGAAACUCAAAGGAAUUGACGGGGGCCCGCACAAGCGGAGGAGCAUGUGGUUUAAUUCGAUGAUACGCGAGGAACCUUACCCGGGCUUGAAAGUUAGUGAAUAGAGCAGAGACGCUCUAGUUCUUCGGAACACGAAACUAGGUGCUGCAUGGCUGUCGUCAGCUCGUGCCGUGAGGUGUUGGGUUAAGUCCCGCAACGAGCGCAACCCCUAUGUUUAGUUGCCAGCAUUUAAGGUGGGGACUCUAAACAGACUGCCUAUGCAAAUAGAGAGGAAGGAGGGGACGACGUCAAGUCAUCAUGGCCCUUACGUCCGGGGCUACACACGUGCUACAAUGGAUGAUACAGAGGGCAGCUACCUGGCAACAGGAUGCCAAUCUCACAAAGUCAUUCACAGUUCGGAUCGGGGUCUGCAACUCGACCCCGUGAAGUUGGAUUCGCUAGUAAUCGCGUAUCAGCAAUGACGCGGUGAAUACGUUCCCGGGCCUU